rnacentral:rRNA from 1 species
AUGACGUCAAAUCAUCAUGCCCCUUAUGACCUGGGCUACACACGUGCUACAAUGGUUGGUACAACGAGUUGCGAGUCGGUGACGGCGAGCUAAUCUACUUAAAGCCAAUCUCAGUUCGGAUUGGUAGGCUGCAACUCGCCUACAUGAAGUCGGAAUCGCUAGUAAUCGCGGAUCAGCACGCCGCGGUCGAAUACGUUCCCGGGCCUU